CGUAGGCUUCAUCUCACAAGCGGUAACGCAUCUCCGAUAAAGAAGACAGAAUGACAGCUGACAAUCUGAAUAUCCUCAGAAACCAGACCAAGUGCAGCCGGAACACAAAGAAACUCUGGUGUUUGGCUUGAUAUGGGAAGAAUAAAAGAGAAGACGCAGCAGCAUCACACAUAUUCACAAUGACUAUAUAUAUAUAGUGUUAUAAAUGAGGCUGAUGUAUGGCCAUACAACAAGCAAAAACCAUGAAACAAA